rnacentral:rRNA from 1 species
GACGAACGCUGGCGGCGUGCCUAACACAUGCAAGUCGAGCGAUGAAGUUUCCUUCGGGAAACGGAUUAGCGGCGGACGGGUGAGUAACACGUGGAUAACCUGCCUCAUAGAGGGGAAUAGCCUCCCGAAAGGGAGAUUAAUACCGCAUAAUAUUACAGUUUCGCAUGAAACAGUAAUUAAAGGAGCAAUCCGCUAUGAGAUGGACCCGCGGCGCAUUAGCUAGUUGGUGAGGUAACGGCUCACCAAGGCGACGAUGCGUAGCCGACCUGAGAGGGUGAUCGGCCACAUUGGGACUGAGACACGGCCCAGACUCCUACGGGAGGCAGCAGUGGGGAAUAUUGCACAAUGGGGGAAACCCUGAUGCAGCAACGCCGCGUGAGUGAUGACGGUCUUCGGAUUGUAAAGCUCUGUCUUUGGGACGAUAAUGACGGUACCCAAGGAGGAAGCCACGGCUAACUACGUGCCAGCAGCCGCGGUAAAAC